rnacentral:misc_RNA from 1 species
AUCUAACACUAAUUGCCAAAUGUUGUUCGAUUGCUAAUCUGGGCUAUUGAGCUUCAUUCAUAUGCGCAAAGGUGGAACAUUCAUGCCACAUGAGGUCUAUUUGACUCCUCACAAACAUUCUCUCAUAGAAUAUCUUCUGGCUAGAACAAUCUCUGAAGAUGAGUUAAUCCUGAUUAGAUGCCUGACCAUGAAAACGACUUGGCUUUACAUUCAAGUCGAUCAUUUUGUCCUUCUUGCCAUGCCCAUCUGCACUCCCAUCUGAAAUCAAAAUAGGAGACACCCUGUGAUUUUGUUGAUUGUCUUUAAUCAUUGGGUUUGGUGAGUGACUAUGAUCCUUCUUAUUUUCACCGGUAUCUAAUGUCUUCCUGGCUAAUUCCUCUGUAGACCCCGACUUGUCUCCUGGAAACUCAACUUUCUGCCUCAACAGGAGAUAUCUACUGUGUGUUCAUUUACCGCCAACGUGUACCAUCAUGUCACAUUGCAGACAAAGAGAACUUCCAUCAACUUCACAGUAAAAGAAUGCAGGUGAAUUUUCACAUAUGUCACAACGAGGAACCUCGUUGGGCUUAGCAAUUCCAACCCUCACAUGCCUACUAGCAAGCUUGUUACACAUAUGAACCUUUUCAUCACAGGCACGGCAAAGGGCAGCCUCAUCUGCAGCACAGAAAAGAAUGGCUGCAGCACUUUCACAAACAUCACAAAGUGUCCGCAUAAUUCAUUUCUACCACAACUCACCCAAUAAUAAAACAAUAUAAAGCCUCAUAUUAUUACCUAGAUUCCUUCAACUACUCUUUUAUCAAGAAUUAAGUAGUCUAUUUAG